rnacentral:lncRNA from 1 species
UCUUACAGUAUCUACAGAACAACAACCCUCUACCUUGAUCAAAGUUGACUCUUUGUUUGAAGAAAGAGAAAGUAUUGGGCAUUGCAGCCUUAUUAGAGUCAACUGGCUUCCUGUUAGAGUAGGCAUUAAAAGAUACAAAAUCCGGAUUAAAAUGAGAGGGAGACUGAAUAUGCCUUUGUUUCUCAUCAUUCAGGAGGAUAUNNN